GUGCACUGUUCGUAAUCACUUAUUAUUUCUAUUGAUAAUUGGUUCCAUUCCAGUGCUACAUAAACUCCAGAAAGAACAGCAGGGCUAGCUCAUGUUAGUCUGUGAUUCAUUUUGGAACAGAC